GGCAGGCCUACACAUGCAAGUCGAGCGCACCUUCGGGUGAGCGGCGGACGGGUUAGUAACGCGUGGGAACAUACCCUUUUCUACGGAAUAGCCUCGGGAAACUGAGAGUAAUACCGUAUAAGCCCUUCGGGGGAAAGAUUUAUCGGGAAAGGAUUGGCCCGCGUUAGAUUAGAUAGUUGGUGGGGUAAUGGCCUACCAAGUCUACGAUCUAUAGCUGGUUUUAGAGGAUGAUCAGCAACACUGGGACUGAGACACGGCCCAGACUCCUACGGGAGGCAGCAGUGGGGAAUCUUAGACAAUGGGCGCAAGCCUGAUCUAGCCAUGCCGCGUGUGUGAUGAAGGUCUUAGGAUCGUAAAGCACUUUCGCCAGGGAUGAUAAUGACAGUACCUGGUAAAGAAACCCCGGCUAACUCCGUGCCAGCAGCCGCGGUAAUACGGAGGGGGUUAGCGUUGUUCGGAAUUACUGGGCGUAAAGAGUACGUCGGCGGAUUGGAAAGUUGGGGGUGAAAAUCCCUGGG
rnacentral:rRNA from 1 species